UACGUAGGGGGCAAGCGUUGUCCGGAUUUAUUGGGCGUAAAGAGCGUGUAGGCGGUUAGGUAGGUCCGUUGUGAAAACUCGAGGCUCAACCUCGAGACGCCGAUGGAAACCAUCUAACUAGAGUCCGGAAGAGGAGAGUGGAAUUCCUGGUGUAGCGGUGAAAUGCGCAGAUAUCAGGAGGAACACCCAUUGCGAAGGCAGCUCGCUGGGACGUUACUGACGCUGAGACGCGAAAGCGUGGGGAGCAAACAGG
rnacentral:rRNA from 1 species